rnacentral:rRNA from 1 species
ACACGUAGGGGGCGAGCGUUGUUCGGAAUCAUUGGGCGUAAAGGGCGUGCAGGCGGUCCUGCAAGUCCGGCGUGAAAGACCCCGGCCCAACCGGGGGGACGCGCUGGAAACUGCAGGGCUUGAGUACAGGAGGGGAUGCCGGAAUUCCAGGUGUAGGGGUGAAAUCUGUAGAUAUCUGGAAGAACACCAAUGGCGAAGGCAGGCAUCUGGCCAUGUACUGACGCUGAGACGCGAAGGUGCGGGGAGCAAACAGGUUUAGAUACCCUGGUAGUCCGCACAGUAAACGAUGUGCACCAGGUGGCGGGGGGUCGACCCCUGGUACCGUAGCUAACGCAUUAAGUGCACCGCCUGGGGAGUAUGCUCGCAAGGGUGAAACUCAAAGGAAUUGACGGGG